rnacentral:rRNA from 1 species
UACGUAGGGGGCAAGCGUUGUUCGGAAUUACUGGGCGUAAAGGGCGCGUAGGCGGUCCUGAUCGUCGGAUGUGAAAGGCCUGGGCUCAACCUGGGAAUGGCAUCCGAUACGGCGGGACUGGAGUGUGGGAGAGGUUGGUGGAAUUCCCAGUGUAGAGGUGAAAUUCGUAGAUAUUGGGAAGAACACCGGUGGCGAAGGCGGCCAACUGGACCACAACUGACGCUGAGGCGCGAAAGCGUGGGGAGCAAACAGG